rnacentral:rRNA from 1 species
AUGAACGCUGGCGGCGUGCCUAAUACAUGCAAGUCGAGCGAACGGACGAGAAGCUUGCUUCUCUGAUGUUAGCGGCGGACGGGUGAGUAACACGUGGAUAACCUACCUAUAAGACUGGGAUAACUUCGGGAAACCGGAGAUAAUACCGGAUAAUAUUUUGAACCGCAUGGUUCAAAAGUGAAAGACGGUCUUGCUGUCACUUAUAGCUGGAUCCGCGCUGCAUUAGCUAGUUGGUAAGGUAACGGCUUACCAAGGCAACGAUGCAUAGCCGACCUGAGAGGGUGAUCAGCCACACUGGAACUGAGACACGGUCCAGACUCCUACGGGAGGCAGCAGUAGGGAAUCUUCCGCAAUGGGCGAAAGCCUGACGGAGCAACGCCGCGUGAGUGAUGAAGGUCUUCGGAUCGUAAAACUCUGUUAUUAGGGAAGAACAUAUGUGUAAGUAACUGUGCACAUCUUGACGGUACCUAAUCAGAAAGCCACGGCUAACUACGUG